rnacentral:rRNA from 1 species
CGUGUAGGCGGGUGUUUAAGUCAGGGGUGAAAUGCCAGGGCUCAACCUUGGAACCGCCCUUGAUACUGGAUAUCUUGAGUCCGGGAGAGGUGAGUGGAACUGCGAGUGUAGAGGUGAAAUUCGUAGAUAUUCGCAAGAACACCAGUGGCGAAGGCGGCUCACUGGCCCGGAACUGACGCUGAGACGCGAAAGCGUGGGGAGCAAACAGGAUUAGAUACCCUGGUAGUCCACGCCGUAAACGAUGGAUGCUAGCCGUUGGGGAGCUUGCUCUUCAGUGGCGCCGCUAACGCAAUAAGCAUCCCGCCUGGGGAGUACGGUCGCAAGAUUAAA